GUGCCAGCCGCCGCGGUAAGACAGAGGGUGCAAACGUUGCUCGGAAUUACUGGGCGUAAAGCGCGUGUAGGCGGACUGGUAAGUCGGACGUGAAAUCCCUGGGCUCAACCCAGGAACUGCAUCCGAAACUAUCAGUCUGGAGUGGUGGAGAGGGAAGCAGAAUUCCUGGUGUAGAGGUGAAAUUCGUAGAUAUCAGGAGGAACACCGGUGGCGAAGGCGGCUUCCUGGACACUAACUGACGCUGAGACGCGAAAGCGUGGGGAGCAAACAGGAUUAGAAACCCCCGUAGUCC
rnacentral:rRNA from 1 species